CGCGCAGACCGCCUUAUCGUCGUCCGCUUCGGCGGAGGGAGGAAAGUCCGGACACCACAGAGAAGCAUAGCGGGUAACACCCGUCGGUCUUAGCAAUAAGGCAAGGACAAGUGCAACAGAAAGUAUGUACAGGUAAUGCUGUAGUGAAACCAGGUAAACUCUAUGCGGUGAAAUACCAAGUAUAUCAGCAUUUAAGGGCUUCUCGUUCGUUGUUGAAGGGUAGGUAGCUCGAGCUUAUGAGUAAUUGUAAGCCUAGAUAAAUGAUAAGGCUCUGAUUUAUCAGGGACAGAAUCCGGCUUAUAGGUCUGCAUUUUUU
rnacentral:RNase_P_RNA from 1 species